CGAUUGAAAUAAUUUAUUGAAUAUUAUGUUUAUUUAUGCGUAUUGCGUAACUCGUAAUUGUAUAUUAAGAAGUAAAAAGUAUUAAAACAUAACGUAAAUAAAACCAAAAUGAAUAUUGGCAGGUACUUAUGUGAAGACAUAAAGUGCCCUACAUCUCCAACCAAACCUGUCUAAAGAACGCGCAUCAGUGUAUAAUUUUAAAUAAUGACCAUUUUUACAUUUUAAUACACCGUAACGGACCAACAAAUUCCACGAUUGCAAUUUUUUUACUACAAUUAUUGAUACGGGGGUCAUUGGUUUUAUGUUCCAAAAUAUCAUAUAUAACUCAAUAAAAUUAACUAAUAACAUUUUAAAA